GACGAACGCUGGCGGCGUGCUUAACACAUGCAAGUCGAGCGGUAAGGCCUCUUCGGGGGUACACGAGCGGCGAACGGGUGAGUAACACGUGGGUGACCUGCCCUCAGCUCUGGGAUAAGCCUGGGAAACUGGGUCUAAUACCGGAUAUGACCACAUGUUGCAUGGUGUGUGGUGGAAAGUUUUUUCGGCUGGGGAUGGGCCCGCGGCCUAUCAGCUUGUUGGUGGGGUGAUGGCCUACCAAGGCGACGACGGGUAGCCGGCCUGAGAGGGCGACCGGCCAGUGGGGGACGGCUCCGAGGCCCAAGGUGCGACGGGGGGGGGCGGGGGGGAGUGUUGCGGCGGGGGGGAAGGCCGGGCGGGACGCCGGGGGGUGGGGGGGUACGCCCGUGGUUGUGGCUACCGGGUUCGCGGGGGACGAAGCUGAGGUGACGGAAGGGGAGGAAGAAGCCGAGGCAAACUACGGGUGGGCAGCCGGGGUAAUUAGCGACGGCACCCGUAUCAUC
rnacentral:rRNA from 1 species